GAUGAACGCUGGCGGCGUGCCUAAUACAUGCAAGUCGAGCGAACAGACGAGGAGCUUGCUCCUCUGACGUUAGCGGCGGACGGGUGAGUAACACAUGGAUAACCUACCUAUAAGACUGGGAUAACUUCGGGAAACCGGAGCUAAUACCGGAUAAUAUAUUGAACCGCAUGGUUCAAUAGUGAAAGACGGUUUUGCUGUCACUUAUAGAUGGAUCCGCGCCGCAUUAGCUAGUUGGUAAGGUAACGGCUUACCAAGGCAACGAUGCGUAGCCGACCUGAGAGGGGGAUCGGCCACACUGGAACUGAGACACGGUCCAGACUCCUACGGGAGGCAGCAGUAGGGAAUCUUCCGCAAUGGGCGAAAGCCUGACGGAGCAACGCCGCGUGAGUGAUGAAGGUCUUCGGAUCGUAAAACUCUGUUAUUAGGGAAGAACAAAUGUGUAAGUAACUAUGCACGUCUUGACGGUACCUAAUCAGAAAGCCACGGCUAACUACGUG
rnacentral:rRNA from 1 species